UACAGAGGUCUCAAGCGUUGUUCGGAUUCAUUGGGCGUAAAGGGUGCGUAGGCGGCGCGGUAAGUCGGGUGUGAAAUCUUGGAGCUUAACUCCGAAACUGCAUUCGAUACUGCCGUGCUUGAGGACUGGAGAGGAGACUGGAAUUCAUGGUGUAGCAGUGAAAUGCGUAGAGAUCAUGAGGAAGACCAGUGGCGAAGGCGGGUCUCUGGACAGUUCCUGACACUGAGACACGAAGGCCAGGGAGCAAACGGG
rnacentral:rRNA from 1 species